UACGUAGGGUGCAAGCGUUGUCCGGAAUUAUUGGGCGUAAAGAGCUCGUAGGCGGUCUGUCGCGUCGGCUGUGAAAACUCGGGGCUCAACUCCGAGCUUGCAGUCGAUACGGGCAGGCUAGAGUUCGGCAGGGGAGACUGGAAUUCCUGGUGUAGCGGUGAAAUGCGCAGAUAUCAGGAGGAACACCGGUGGCGAAGGCAGCUCGCUGGGACGGUACUGACGCUGAGGCGCGAAAGCGUGGGGAGCAAACAGG
rnacentral:rRNA from 1 species